rnacentral:tRNA from 1 species
AUCUUUCUAGUAUUUAAAGCUAGUACAAGUGACUUCCAAUUACACGGUCUUGGUUAAAAUCCAAGGAAAGAUA